rnacentral:rRNA from 1 species
GUCUACGGCCAUACCACCCUGAAUGUGCUCGGUCUCAUCUGAUCUCGGAAGGUAAGCAGGGUCGGGCCAGUUAGUACUUGGAUGGGAGAGUGCUUCUCUAGGUCUUCAGGGAAAAUGCAUGCAUCUAAACA